rfam:Gossypium hirsutum cultivar TM-1 chromosome 10, whole genome shotgun sequence
UGUUAAAAAUUUUAUCCGUUUGUACUAAUAAAAACUAGUAUGGUUGAUGGAAUAACCAAAUAGUGACAUGUGGUGUGCCACGUAUGCCUCAUGUUGAUAUACAAUGAUCAAUUUUUAAGAGUAGAAAUAAAUGAAAUUUGUAAUA